CACCCUUUGGAUGUUCUCUCGGGUCACAGUGUUCGGAUUAAUUCCGCAGUGAAAAUGGAUGGGUGUAACUAUCGAGACACGUCGAUUGUUGUGAAUCAAAUCAAAGUCAAGGUUUAUCACUAUCUCAGCGACGACAUGUCGACGAGCAACCCGGAGUUGCUGGUCAGGCGACCGGUCUACCAGCAGGACGAGCUUAAUCACUUGUAUAAAUACACGAAGCCCAGCGAAACGAUUUUUCAGCACAUAUCUUCGAGGUGUCAGAAAUUCCGGUUGCUGAAUGCUGUCAAACAAUCGAUACCUUUAAUCGGUUGGCUGUCGGCGUAUAAUUGGAAGCACGACAUCUUUGGAGACAUCGUUGCUGGAAUCACCGUCGCAGUGAUGCAUAUCCCUCAAGGACUGGCGUACGCUAUACUGGGCAACGUCCCACCGAUCGUCGGGAUCUACAUGGCCUUCUUUCCCGUUUUAGUUUAUCUGUUUCUCGGCACGUCCAAACACAAUUCGAUGGGUACGUUCGCGUUGGUUUGCAUGAUGACAGGAAAAGUGGUAACGACUUACAGCACCCCAUCACAAAUCCAAAACAUCAAUAACGCUACGGAAUAUAAUGAAUCAACCACAAACUACCAAUAUUCCCCCAUCGAAGUUGCUACAGCAGUCACGUUCACCGUAGCCAUGAUAGAGCUAGCAAUGUACGUGCUACGCCUAGGAGUGAUCGCCUCCCUGCUAGCCGACAGUCUGGUCAGCGGCUUCACAACUUCGGCAGCCGUCCACGUUUUCACAUCUCAAGUCAAGGAUCUAUUGGGCCUAAGAAAUUUACCUAGCCGAAAAGGAGCCUUCAAGCUAAUCUUCACAUAUGUGGACUACUUCACCAACAUCAAAACCGCCAACUGGGUAGCUGUCGCUCUCUCAGCCUCCAUCAUCAUACUACUCAUCACCAACAAUCUCCUAAAGAAAAGAGUCGCGAGAAUAAGCCCCUUUCCAUUUCCUAUAGAAAUGUUGGCUGUCCUCAUCGGCACUAUUCUCUCGGUGCACCUGAACCUUGGGACUGAUUAUGGCCUUGCUACUGUUGGUCAUAUACCAGUCGGUUUUCCGAGUCCAACUCUCCCCUCGUUCUCGCUGAUACCGCACAUCCUCCUGGACAGCUUCAUAAUCACCAUGGUCUCCUACACAAUCACCAUGUCCAUGGCGUUGAUCUUCGCGCAGAAAUUAAACUACGAAGUGGACUCGAACCAAGAAUUAAUGGCUCAGGGUGCUGGAAACCUUGUUGGAUCCUUCUUUUCUUGUAUGCCGUUCACAGCCUCGCUGUCGAGGUCCUUGAUACAGCAGACUGUUGGAGGACACACUCAACUUGCUAGUUUAAUAUCCUGCGGACUUUUGGUCAGCGUGUUGUUGUGGAUUGGUCCUUUGUUUGAACCUCUGCCACGGUGUGUCCUAGCCAGCAUCAUAGUGGUGGCUCUAAACGGAAUGCUAAAGAAGGUGAAAGAGUUCAAGAAAUUUUGGGACCUAGACAAAAUGGACGGAGUAAUUUGGGCCGUAACAUUUAUAACCGUGAUCCUACUGGACAUUGAAUAUGGUCUUCUGGUCGGGAUAUUCUUCUGCAUAGGCAAACUCGUCCUCUUUGCAGUUCGUCCAUACACCUGCUCCCUCGGUCAAGUACCUGGCACCGAGCUGUACCUGGACAGCAAGAGAUAUAAAAGCGUAUGGAACAGUGGAGGUACCUGGUAUCAAGAUAUUCCAUUACUGUGGCAGCUUGAACUUUGCCUGCCGUCAGCAGUUUCGUGAACAGGUGUAUAAGAUUGCGGGACAUAGACCGAGGAAGAAUUUGGGACAUGAAGAGUUGAAGGAAAUUAAGGAGCUGCACACCCUAGUGCUGGACUUGAGCGCCUUAACUCACAUGGAUCUUGCGGGAGCAACGACCCUAGGAAACCUGAUCAGCGAGUAC
rnacentral:misc_RNA from 1 species